rnacentral:rRNA from 1 species
AGUAGUUUGAUCCGUGGCUCGAGGACAACGCUGGCGGCGUGCUUAACACAUGCAAGUCGAACGGAACUUUUAGUUUAGUGGCAAACGGGUGAGUAACGCGUAGGUAAUCUGCCGCAAAGAUGGGGACAACAGUUCGAAAGGGCUGCUAAUACCGAAUGUUGUAAGUAAUUCGCAUGAGUAACUUACUAAAGAUUUAUCGCUUUGCGAGGAGCCUGCGUCCGAUUAGGUAGUUGGUAGGGUAAGAGCGUACCAAGCCUGCGAUCGGUAACCGGUCUGAGAGGAUGAACGGUCACAUUGGAACUGAGACACGGUCCAGACUCC